AUCAGAGAGGGUUAAAAUAUAAUCUAUGUUAUAAUCAGGUUCUUUGUCUCAAGGCUUCUCCGAGUCAUUUCUCAAGAUGGAUCAACAGGGCAAAUUGAAGAAGCUGUUUGCAGCCAGCCCUGCAGAGUCUCACCCUGCUGCUCCUGCUGCUCAGUGAAAUCAGCAUGCCAGCACAGCGUUAGCCUGUUUGCAUGUGCUGCAGCAUGACACAGCAGCUCAUUGGCUUCAGCCCUGUGCCAUGGCUCAUGUCAGGGUCACACAACUGUGUUGGAGCAAGAGUACUAGUUAGAACUGGUCUUUCUCAAAUAUCCACCAUUUGCUUCGACGUGGAUGGAACUGGAGGGUAUUAUGCUGAGUGAAAUAAGUCAAUCGGAGGACAAACAUUAUAUGGUCUCAUUCAUUUGGGGAAUAUAAAAAAUAGUGAAAGGGAAUAAAGGGGAAAGGAGAAAAAAUGAGUGGGAAAUA
rnacentral:lncRNA from 1 species